rnacentral:rRNA from 1 species
CCUACGGGUGGCAGCAGUGAGGAAUAUUGGUCAAUGGACGAGAGUCUGAACCAGCCAAGUAGCGUGAAGGAUGACUGCCCUAUGGGUUGUAAACUUCUUUUAUAAAGGAACAAAACGAGGCACGUGUGCCUUUUUGCAUGUACUUUAUGAAUAAGGAUCGGCUAACUCCGUGCCAGCAGCCGCGGUAAUACGGAGGAUCCGAGCGUUAUCCGGAUUUAUUGGGUUUAAAGGGAGCGUAGAUGGGUUGUUAAGUCAGUUGUGAAAGUUUGCGGCUCAACCGUAAAAUUGCAAUUGAUACUGGCAGUCGUGAGUACAGUUGAGGUAGGCGGAAUUCGUGGUGUAGCGGUGAAAUGCUUAGAUAUCACGAAGAACCCCGAUUGCGAAGGCAGCUUACUAAACUGUGACUGACAUUGAUGCUCGAAAGUGUGGGUAUCAAACAGGAUUAGAUACCCCAGUAGUC